UACAGAGGUCUCAAGCGUUGUUCGGAUUCAUUGGGCGUAAAGGGUGUGUAGGUGGCGCGCUAAGUCGGGUGUGAAAUUUCGGAGCUUAACUCCGAAACUGCAUUCGAUACUGGCGUGCUUGAGGACUGGAGAGGAGACUGGAAUUUACGGUGUAGCAGUGAAAUGCGUAGAUAUCGUAAGGAAGACCAGUGGCGAAGGCGGGUCUCGUGGACAGUUCCUGACACUGAGACACGAAGGCCAGGGGAGCAAACGGG
rnacentral:rRNA from 1 species